UUGUCCAUCUACAUCUACUUUUUAUUCAAUCCAUAUCUGAGGUUUACAUAUCGCUCUACAAACAUAUUAUUGCUAUGGCUGAAGGUUCAUCAAGUCUACCAUGGUUCUUAAGGCUAAUGAAUGUAGCAGAUACAGUUAUUUUG